UACGUAGGGUGCAAGCGUUAAUCGGAAUUACUGGGCGUAAAGCGUGCGCAGGCGGCUUUGCAAGACAGAUGUGAAAUCCCCGGGCUUAACCUGGGAACUGCAUUUGUGACUGCAUGGCUGGAGUGCGGCAGAGGGGGAUGGAAUUCCGCGUGUAGCAGUGAAAUGCGUAGAUAUGCGGAGGAACACCGAUGGCGAAGGCAAUCCCCUGGGCCUGCACUGACACUCAAGCACGAAAGCGUGGGGAGCAAACAGG
rnacentral:rRNA from 1 species